GGAGUCAGACUGCGAGUGAUAAGAUCCGUAGUCGAAAGGGAAACAGCCCAGACCACCAGUUAAGGUCCCCAAAUAUAUGUUAAGUGGAAAAGGAUGUGGGGUUGCUUAGACAACCAGGAUGUUGGCUUAGAAGCAGCCACCAUUGAAAGAGUGCGUAAUAGCUCACUGGUCGAGUGACCCCGCGCCGAAAAUGUACCGGGGCUAAACAUAUUACCGAAACUGUGGAUGAACCUCUUUAGAGGUUCGUGGUAGGAGAGCGUUCUAAGGGCGGUGAAGUCAGACCGGAAGGACUGGUGGAGCGCUUAGAAGUGAGAAUGCCGGUAUGAGUAGCGAAAGAAGGGUGAGAAUCCCUUCCACCGAAUAUCUAAGGUUUCCUGAGGAAGGCUCGUCCGCUCAGGGUUAGUCGGGACCUAAGCCGAGGCCGAUAGGCGUAGGCGAUGGACAACAGGUAGAGAUUCCUGUACCAGUGCUAAUUGUUUAACCGAUGGGGUGACACAGAAGGAUAGGGAAUCGCACGAAUGGAAAUGUGCGUCCAAGCAGUGAGUGUGAGAAGUAGGCAAAUCCGCUUCUCGCGAAGCAUGAGCUGUGAUGGGGAAGGAAAUUAAGUACGGAAGUUCCUGAUUUCACGCUGUCAAGAAAAGCCUCUAGGAAGAGUAGUACUGCCCGUACCGCAAACCGACACAGGUAGAUGAGGAGAGAAUCCUAAGGUGAGCGAGAGAACUCUCGUUAAGGAACUCGGCAAAAUGACCCCGUAACUUCGGGAGAAGGGGUGCUCUAUUAGGGUGCAAGCCCGAGAGAGCCGCAGUGAAUAGGCCCAGGCGACUGUUUAGCAAAAACACAGGUCUCUGCAAAACCGUAAGGUGACGUAUAGGGGCUGACGCCUGCCCGGUGCUGGAAGGUUAAGAGGAGUGCUUAGCUUCGGCGAAGGUACGAAUUGAAGCCCCAGUAAACGGCGGCCGUAACUAUAACGGUCCUAAGGUAGCGAAAUUCCUUGUCGGGUAAGUUCCGACCCGCACGAAAGGCGCAACGAUCUGGGCACUGUCUCAACGAGAGACUCGGUGAAAUUAUAGUACCUGUGAAGAUGCAGGUUACCCGCGACAGGACGGAAAGACCCCGUGGAGCUUUACUGCAACCUGAUAUGGAAUGUUUGUACCGCUUGUACAGGAUAGGUAGGAGCCGAAGAGACGUGUGCGCUAGCAUACGAGGAGGCAAUGGUGGGAUACUACCCUGGCUGUAUGACCAUUCUAACCCGCCACGCUUAGCGCGUGGGGAGACAGUGUCAGGUGGGCAGUUUGACUGGGGCGGUCGCCUCCUAAAGAGUAACGGAGGCGCCCAAAGGUUCCCUCAGAAUGGAUGGAAAUCAUUCGCAGAGUGUAAAGGCACAAGGGAGCUUGACUGCGAGACUGACAAGUCGAGCAGGGACGAAAGUCGGGCUUAGUGAUCCGGUGGUUCCGCAUGGAAGGGCCAUCGCUCAACGGAUAAAAGCUACCCCGGGGAUAACAGGCUUAUCUCCCCCAAGAGUCCACAUCGACGGGGAGGUUUGGCACCUCGAUGUCGGCUCGUCGCAUCCUGGGGCUGUAGUCGGUCCCAAGGGUUGGGCUGUUCGCCCAUUAAAGCGGCACGCGAGCUGGGUUCAGAACGUCGUGAGACAGUUCGGUCCCUAUCCGUCGCGGGCGCAGGAAAUUUGAGAGGAGCUGUCCUUAGUACGAGAGGACCGGGAUGGACACACCGCUGGUGUACCAGUUGUUCCGCCAGGAGCAUCGCUGGGUAGCUAUGUGUGGCAGGGAUAAACGCUGAAAGCAUCUAAGCGUGAAGCCCCCCUCAAGAUGAGAUUUCCCAUUUCUUCGGAAAGUAAGAUCCCUGAAAGAUGAUCAGGUAGAUAGGUUUGGAGUGGAAGUGUAGCGAUACAUGGAGCGGACAAAUACUAAUCGAUCGAGGACUUAACCAAAA
rnacentral:rRNA from 1 species